rnacentral:rRNA from 1 species
AUGAAAAAAUAUGAUACCGUGUGCACAUUGAUCCGAAUGAUGCCCAAUUACAAAGAUCUCCAGCCAACCGAAGUCAUUGGUAGAAUUGUUGCUCAUGAGAUGUCACUAAAGGAUAAAGAAGAGCUUCACAACAAGUCUAGUGGUGCUUACAAAGCCUCAUGUGAUGCUCCUACAUCAUCAAGUGAGAAACAAGCCUUCAAUGAGGAAUUGAGCCUAAUGGUGAAGAACUUCAACAAGUUCUACAAGAGUAGAAGCAAAGAAAGAAGUUCCAAGUCAAGGUCCUACAAUGACAAAAGAUCUUCUAGUCAUGAGCGUAAUUGCUACAAUUGUGGAAGACCCGGACACUACUCCAAUGAGUGUACAACUCACCUAAAAGGAUAA